rnacentral:rRNA from 1 species
CCAAUAGCGUAUAUUAAAGUUGUUGCAGUUAAAAAGCUCGUAGUUGAAUUUCGGGAUCAGUACGCUGGUCGUGCCUUCGGUAUGCACUGGUUUCACUGAUUCCUCCCUUCUGAAGAACCGUAAUGCCAUUCAGUUGGUGUGGCGGGGAAUCAGGAUUGUUACUUUGAAAAAAUUAGAGUGUUUAAAGCAGGCUCGCGCUUGAAUACAUUAGCAUGGAAUAAUGAAAUAGGACGUUUGAUCCUAUUUUGUUGGUUUCUAGGAUUGACGUAAUGAUUAAUAGGGAUAGUUGGGGGCAUUAGUAUUCAAUUGUCAGAGGUGGAAUUCUUGGAUUUAUUGAAGACUAACUACUGCGAAAGCAUUUGCCAAGGAUGUUUUCAUUAAUCAAGAACGAAAGUUAGGGGAUCGAAGACGAUCAGAUACCGUCGUAGUCUUAACCAUAAACUAUGCCGACUAGGGAUCGGAUGAUGUUAAUUUUUUAAUGACUCAUUCGGCGCCUUACG